rnacentral:ncRNA from 1 species
GGAGCCUGCGGCUUAAUUUGACUCAACACGGGAAACCUCACCCGGCCCGGACACGGAAAGGAUUGACAGAUUGAUAGCUCUUUCUCGAUUCUGUGGGUGGUGGUGCAUGGCCGUUCUUAGUUGGUGGAGCGAUUUGUCUGGUUAAUUCCGAUAACGAACGAGACUCCGGCAUGCUAACUAGUUAUGCGGCCCCGAGCGGUCGGCGUCCAACUUCUUAGAGGGACAAGUGGCGUUCAGCCACACGAGAUUGAGCAAUAACAGGUCUGUGAUGCCCUUAGAUGUCCGGGGCUGCACGCGCGCCACACUGAGCGGAUCAGCGUGUGUCUACCCUUCGCCGAGAGGCGUGGGUAACCCGCUGAACCCCACUCGUGAUAGGGAUUGGGGAUUGCAAUUAUUUCCCNNNNNN